GACGGGGACCCCGCACCAAGCGGUGGAGCAUGGUGGUUUAAUUUCGAAGCAAACGGCGAAGAACCUUACCAGGUCUUGACAUACCAUGAAAAGCUCAGAGAUGAGUCUUUCCCUUCGGGGACAUGGAUACAGGUGGUGCAUGGUUGUCGUCAGCUCGUGUCGUGAGAUGUUGGGUUAAGUCCCGCAACGAGCGCAACCCUUAUUAUCAGUUGCCAGCAUUCAGUUGGGCACUCUGGUGAGACUGCCGGUGAUAAACCGGAGGAAGGUGGGGACGACGUCAAAUCAUCAUGCCCCUUAUGACCUGGGCUACACACGUGCUACAAUGGUCGGUACAACGUGCUGCGAACUCGCGAGGGCAAGCAAAUCACUUAAAACCGAUCUCAGUUCGGAUUGUAGGCUGCAACUCGCCUACAUGAAGCUGGAAUCGCUAGUAAUCGCGGAUCAGCAUGCCGCGGUGAAUACGUUCCCGGGCCUUGUACACACCGCCCGUCACACCAUGAGAGUUUGUAACACCCAAAGUCGGUGGGGUAACCCUUCGGGGAACUAGCCGCCUAAGGUGGGACAAAUGAUUAGGGUG
rnacentral:rRNA from 1 species